GUCAUUAAAUAUACUUAUGUGUCGUCAUCGUUGCAAUGUCCUUCUAGCUUAUUAACUUCCUAACAUCGGAAGUUUGCAGUUUUUAAGGUGCGAAAUUUAAGACUGUUCCUUAAUUGUAACGGCCCAAACUAGCUAAAUUAAUCUUUGCUUAAAUUCGCUGUUUAGGUAAAAGAGACAUGAGCUGCCCCCUGAGUAAUGCGAGCGGCGUAGCCUGCUCGAUAAUUGGGGAGGUCCAUAUUAAUAUCGGUUUGUGUUCUGCAUUAUUAAUUUGUUUUGAAAUAGAUUGUUUUAAGGUCUGUGAACACGAAUAUAUGAAUAUGGAACCCCAAUUAUCGAGCUGGCUACGCCGCUGAGUAGUGCUAUAUAGCACAAGUUUAAAUUUUAACAUGUUUUGUCAUCAAAUAUUAAAAAUCCUCAAAACAUUGCGUUUUGCGAUACACAAUCGGUCCUUCCCUUCACUAUCUAUUAUAUAUAUAUAUCAUGUCUUUAUACAUUUUAUAAUUUAUAUACUGCAUGUAAAAACUUCAAUAUUCCAUGCCUUACAAUCAC